GAUGAACCACUUCGGUGGGGAUUAGUGGCGAACGGGUGAGUAACACGUGGGCAAUCUGCCCUUCACUCUGGGACAAGCCCUGGAAACGGGGUCUAAUACCGGAUAACACUCCUACUCGCAUGGGUGGGGGUUGAAAGCUCCGGCGGUGAAGGAUGAGCCCGCGGCCUAUCAGCUUGUUGGUGAGGUAGUGGCUCACCAAGGCGACGACGGGUAGCCGGCCUGAGAGGGCGACCGGCCACACUGGGACUGAAACACGGCCCAAACUCCUACGGGAGGCAGCAGUGGGGAAUAUUGCACAAUGGGCGAAAGCCUGAUGCAGCGACGCCGCGUGAGGGAUGACGGCCUUCGGGUUGUAAACCUCUUUCAGCAGGGAAGAAGCGAAAGUGACGGUACCUGCAGAAAAAGCGCCGGCUAACUACGUGCCAGCAGCCGCGGUAAUACGUAGGGCGCAAGCGUUGUCCGGAAUUAUUGGGCGUAAAGAGCUCGUAGGCGGUCUGUCGCGUCGGAUGUGAAAGCCCGGGGCUUAACCCCGGGUCUGCAUUCGAUACGGGCAGACUAGAGUGUGGAAGGGGAGAUCGGAAUUCCUGGUGUAACG
rnacentral:rRNA from 1 species